rnacentral:rRNA from 1 species
UACAGAGGGUGCGAGCGUUAAUCGGAAUUACUGGGCGUAAAGCGUGCGUAGACGGUUAUCUAAGUCGGAUGUGAAAGCCCCGGGCUCAACCUGGGAAUUGCAUUCGAGACUGAAUAGCUAGGGUGCGGUAGAGGGAAGCGGAAUUUCCGGUGUAGCGGUGAAAUGCGUAGAUAUCGGAAGGAACAUCAGUGGCGAAAGCGGCUUCCUGGACCAGCACCGACGUUCAGGCACGAAAGCGUGGGGAGCAAACAGGA